rnacentral:sRNA from 1 species
UGACCAGAAGGGAUCUGACUGCAACAUCUGCUACCACAUGGGUCUCUGGAGUCAAUUCUGCUGAUCUGGCUGGCUAAGUGGGUGUCCCUUCCUUCCCUCCUGGCUCCAUAUGUGUCCCUCUUGAAACCGCAUGCUCAUUUGAAGAAGGUAAACCUUUCUUCAGUUGGGCUCUCCUACUAGAAACAAGCUCUCAGUACAGUGUAUUGAUCCAGAUGUAAGAGAGCAAGAAACACACAGUGCUCUUGGUCAUGCUGU